CGCGUAGGCGGUCUUGUCGGUCAGAUGUGAAAGCCCGGGGCUCAACCCUGGAAGUGCAUUUGAAACAGCAAGACUUGAAUACUGGAGAGGAGAGCGGAAUUCCUGGUGUAGAGGUGAAAUUCGUAGAUAUCAGGAGGAACACAGAUGGCGAAGGCAGCUCUCUGGACAGAUAUUGACGCUGAGGCGCGAAGGUGUGGGUAGCGAACAGGAUUAGAUACCCUGGUAGUCC
rnacentral:rRNA from 1 species